rnacentral:rRNA from 1 species
GAGGAAAGCUUGCUUUCCUUGAUGACGACUGGCGCACGGGUGAGUAACGCGUAUCCAACCUUCCCAUAACUACGGGAUAACCCGUUGAAAGACGGCCUAAUACCGUAUGAUAUCGUUUGCUGACAUCAAAUAACGAUUAAAGGUUUAGCGGUUAUGGAUGGGGAUGCGUCUGAUUAGCUUGUUGGCGGGGUAACGGCCCACCAAGGCGACGAUCGGUAGGGGUUCUGAGAGGAAGGUCCCCCACAUUGGAACUGAGACACGGUCCAAACUCCUACGGGAGGCAGCAGUGAGGAAUAUUGGUCAAUGGGCGAGAGCCUGAACCAGCCAAGUAGCGUGCAGGAUGACGGCCCUAUGGGUUGUAAACUGCUUUUAUGUGGGGAUAAAGUGCGUGACGUGUCAUGCAUUGCAGGUACCACAUGAAUAAGGACCGGCUAAUUCCGUGCCAGCAGCCGCGGUAAUACGGAAGGUCCGGGCGUUAUCCGGAUUUAUUGGGUUUAAAGGGAGCGUAGGCUGUCUAUUAAGCGUGUUGUGAAAUUUACCGGCUCAACCGGUGGCUUGCAGCGCGAACUGGUCGGCUUGAGUAUGCAGGAAGUAGGCGGAAUUCAUGGUGUAGCGGUGAAAUGCUUAGAUAUCAUGACGAACUCCGAUUGCGCAGGCAGCUUACUGUAGCAUAACUGACGCUGAUGCUCGAAAGUGCGGGUAUCAAACAGGAUUAGAUACCCUGGUAGUCCGCACGGUAAACGAUGGAUGCUC